UGGAUGCCUUUUUGUUUUAAAUACUUAUUACAUCAUCUGAUAAUUAGGGCAUGUUGGAUGAUUAUAGUUUUAUAGAUCUUUUGGAAAAUUUGUAUUAGGGGAUAAACAUUUGUAUGAUAUUAACAAGUUUAUAAUUUGUAUGAAUCAGUUAUGGCAAAUGUCGAUAAUACUCCAAUAAUCUCCUCUACUGACGACGAUGUAGAAGAAUUGAUUCUCGCAACAUUGUUGAUAGUACAAUAUCAUUAUUCCAGCGAUUUAUACAAUAGAGAACCACGCAGGGAUAGUGCAUUCAUAGGGGCAGCAUGGGUACAUGAGGUGUUGCAUGGGCAUGCAAACCGCUGUUACGAAGAAUUUGGCAUGGAACGACAUGUGUUUUUAAAUUUAUGCCUACUAAUGAGACAUCGUGGUUGGUUACAAGACAGUCGCAAAAUUAGGGUAGAUGAGCAAUUGGCAAUGUUCAUGUUCAGAAUAACAGGUGUAGGUCCUACUAAUAGAGCAGUUGAGGAGAGAUUCCAACAUUCAGGACAGACUGUCAGCUAUUACUUUGGCAAAGUCUUGCAAGGGGUGCUUAAGCUUUCUAAGGAGUAUAUCAAAGCCCCAUCGUUUGAUGAGAUUCCUAUGGAAAUAAUUGCAAACAACAAAUGGUGGCCAUAUUUUAAGGAUUGCAUUGGUGCCAUAGAUGGUACACAUGUUACUACUAUAGUUCCCAAGGGAAAACAGAUCCCAUAUUGAGGACGGAAGGGGAUAACAACCCAAAAUGUGAUGUAUGCCUGCUCGUUUGACAUGAAAUUCACUUUUGUAUAUGCGGGUUGGGAAGGCAGUGCAAAUGAUUGUCGUGUAUUCAAUAGAGCCCUAGAGGAUCCUACUUUACGAUUUCCUCAUCCUCCCCAAGGGAAGUAUUACGUUGUAGACUCAGGAUAUGCGAGUAGGAAUGGAUACUUGACACCAUUUAAAGGAGAGAGAUAUCAUAUACCAGAUUAUAAUGGAGGAAGAAGACAACCCAGAAGUACUAAGGAAUUGUUUAAUUAUAGACAU